AGUGAACGCUGGCGGUAGGCCUAACACAUGCAAGUCGAACGGCAGCACAGUAAGAGCUUGCUCUUACGGGUGGCGAGUGGCGGACGGGUGAGGAAUACAUCGGAAUCUACUUUUUCGUGGGGGAUAACGUAGGGAAACUUACGCUAAUACCGCAUACGACCUACGGGUGAAAGCAGGGGAUCUUCGGACCUUGCGCGAUUGAAUGAGCCGAUGUCGGAUUAGCUAGUUGGCGGGGUAAAGGCCCACCAAGGCGACGAUCCGUAGCUGGUCUGAGAGGAUGAGCCGCAAAAAGGGAAAAGAGACACGGUACAGACACCUAAGGGAGGGAGCAGGGGGGAAAAGGGGAAAAAGGGCGCAAGCCCGAACCCGCCAUGCCGCGGGGGUGAAAAGGGGCUUGGGGUUGUUAAGCCCUUUUUUGGGGGAAAAAAAGCAGAAAGUUAAAACCCCGCUGUUUUGACGCGAAAAAAAAAAAAAACACCCGCUCAAUUCGCG
rnacentral:rRNA from 1 species